UACGUAGGGGGCAAGCGUUAUCCGGAAUUACUGAGUGUAAAGGGUGGGUAGGCGGCAUGGUAAGCCAGAUGUGAAAGCCUUGGGCUUAACCCGAGGAUUGCAUUUGGAACUAUCAAGCUAGAGUACAGGAGAGGAAAGCGGAAUUCCUAGUGUAGCGGUGAAAUGCGUAGAUAUUAGGAAGAACACCAGUGGCGAAGGCGGCUUUCUGGACUGAAACUGACGCUGAGGCACGAAAGCGUGGGGAGCGAACAGG
rnacentral:rRNA from 1 species